UCCUUUAACUACGAACCCUCCGCGCUGGCUGCAUUGUCUAUAGUUAUGCCCCUGGCGCAUAUGCACAUUUUCUAACACAGCGCAGGUACACUCAAUUAAAGCCAACAGCAAAUUAACAAAAUACACCUCUUUCAACCACAAGUAAGAGAUACAUGACAGCGACUUCACGCAGAGGCUCUGGCUUAGGGGCCCCCUGAGCUCAUGGGCCCCUUAAUCCAUCCCUGAACAGUACCCAACUGCCUGAGGACACGCGCUGUACCUGGUCUGUAGCCCAGUUUUAUUGAUAUUGGGAAUUUUAUAUGUGUUUAGUUAUGAUGGCUGGCUUGGACUGGUCAGCAGGACUGGUGGAAAGAAUGAACCAAAUUAUCAAGAGCAAUCUCUUAAGUGCAUCCCAUAGCCAUGAAUAAUUGCGUUAAAAAACCCAUCACCUGUCACAACAUUGUUCACGUCCUCUUGCUGGCCAUGUUGUAGUGUUUAACAGGAGCGUGAAGGUGUGCCCUUACGGAUCCCGGGUGCAGCAUUCAGCCUGUGUUGCAGCUGUCACCAGCCAGUUAUCCACUGCUAUUGUAUCCUGCCACCCUACUAUGUUUGUAUAACUAAAACUGCCCAUGCACCAAGCAAGUCAGCACAACUAAACAUAACUAAAUCUAUAAAACUGGGCUACAGACAGCGUAUGUUGUAUCGUGAAGGAGUGCCUUUACAGAUCCCAGGUACAGCAUAUGGCACAUUUUGCAGCUGUCACCAGCCAGUUGGGCACUGUUGUGUGUCCUGCCACCCUUACUAUGCUUGUAUGACUAAAACUCACCAUGCACCAAGCCAGCCAACAUAACUAAUAACAACUAAACACAUACAAAAUCCCCCAAAUCAACAAAACUGGGCUACAGACAGUGUUAAUUGCCAUCCUAAAUGUAUCUCCUUAUCUGUUUAUCAAAUUGAUGUCUACUAACAAAAUGUUCCCUCUUAUAGCAUGAUCCAAAUGCUGAUGGAUGUGGAAACAAUGCUCCUCAUCACCAUUGGUCCUCAUCUACAUAUAUUGGCAGCCAAACUCUACCCACUCACUCUGUUUCUUUCUUCCCCUCCCAGUCUAGACUAUCUUCGCUGUGGGAUGCUGCUGUAGUUUCUACUUGUAGAAACCCUCUGCCCACAUGUACUCAUUACCACCGUACUGCGUACAUUUAUAUGCAAUAUAUAUAAUUGUCACCAUCGACAUGUUACUCUUUUCAUACUCUACUUACCCAUGUAACAGUAACCCUAUGAGCACACUGAAUACCCACUAAGCUGUUUUUGUAUGCAUCAUUUAUAUACCAUAUGAUGUUUGUAUAUAUAAUAUGUACAUCUACCAUAUGUAUGCUGUGUACAUUUACCACUUGUUGUUUCCCCUAACCUUCUGCCAAAGGACCCCUCCAUCUCUUCCCGGCCGACCUCAAGCAGAUGGGUCCCCCCUUAUAUGCCGCGGUUCUGCUUAAGGUUUCCUCCUGAUUAACAGGGAGUUUUUUUCUUGCCCCUUGUGCUUAGUCUAAGGGUGUCCAGGCACUGGGCUCUGUAAAGCUCCUUGAGACAAAUCUAUUGUUUUGGCACUAUAUAAAUAGAAUUGGAAUUAUUUUUUAAAUUGAAUUACUGGGCUACAGUCAGUAUACUGAUUCUUUCGCUAAGCCGCCUUCCUGAGUCUCUUACUUGAACCAACUUUGGCGUUUCAUCAAGGAUUCCCAAGAACAGCAACAUCUUUCAGUUGCCGUUUCCACCCAGUUUCCAUGAUAAAGUACAAAGAAGAAACUACCCGGAGAGACCAUUCAAACGGUGAGUGAAUCUUUUACUUUAAAGCUGGAAAAAAGAACAGACUUGCUGUGCAAGUUAAAGCCAGUUAGCAGGAGUAAGGUCUCUGUCAAGUGGCUAUGCGCAUAGACUUGGCAUGCCAGGGCAGUUAUUGAUCAGAGCACCUUUAGUUAUUGAUCACAGCGUUUUUGAUUUGCUGUCAGAGUAAACUGCAAUCAUUGCAUCGUUGGAUGGGUUGUAGCUAAAGGAGCUAUAUGUUCUUUGGGUGGUAAAGGUCAUUAUUGAUCAGAGCGUGGCGUUUUAAAUUGCUGUUAAAAUAAUUUAAACUCUCAGUUCAAGCUGACCACAUAAAAGUUGGAAAAGCUUUAUUAAUGAUGAUUGUAUGGGAAUUUAGUAAUGGUCUCUUGUUAUGGACGUGACUAUGAGAAAUGGGUUAAUGAUAGAAGUUGUUUAUUCUGGUCAUAUGGAUGAAAUGCCACAUUCUAUGGAUUUUGUGGUACUGCCGCAGUUUUUUUUUGUGUUUUCAGAGCCAACCCCCCAGGAGCAGCAUGACAGGAUCUGGAUGAAGAACCAAUGGUGCCUCUGCUGCAAUGACCAAGCCAUCACCGCGGUCCAUGAUCCACCUCACCUGUUGGACAGCAGUGACAACACUACAUAAACUGGACCUUCAUGUUUCCACCACACAACAUUCAAGGACUUGACUGAACUACCUGAACAUCGGAUGAUCAGAGAUGCUAAGUUGCCACUCACAGCUCACGGAAGGUGAGUGUCGCUGUACAAAAGCAGGACAGUAAAAGAAUUUUCCCCAAAAUUAGAGGAUAUUAAAGGGUUUUUCGCUUUUACCUGUGAGCUCAGGAACUUUGCCAUCUUGGUUGCAAGAAACAACCGAUUAAUACGUGUGUUUGCACCAAAUGUAAACAAAAGGUUUAAACAAUGUUGGAUUGUUUGAUCAUGAUUAUGUCCGAUUUUGUUUUAUUAUGGUUUUAUGAGGUUUUAUUAUGAUCAUUAUGCAGUUUCAUUUAUGAUGGGAUUGUUAGAUUUUGGUGGAUUUCAAAUACCAGAACAUAGUAAUAGAUCCAUACGUAGUCUCAGGCGGAUUUGGAGCCAGAGCCAUUAGACUUGAAGGUUGGAGCCAGGCAUUUAGCAUUUAGAUGGCCAUGGUUAAGCUAAACCCCCUCUGCCUAGCAUUUUCACCUUUAUCUAGCAUAAACUAGAUAGACUUCAUCCUGACACCUUAGCAGAAAAUAUGGAAAAAAUGUUACAGAAACAAAAUGCUCUCAGAUCUCUCUGUCCUCCAAGCCCAGCCCACUGUGACAGAAAGCCCAGAAACAAAGGGGGGUGGAAAGCAAUAGGCUCCACUCGUCUCAACCCUGGUGAAGAAAACAACACUGUCCAGAGGGGUAGAGGAGCCGAGGGGUAAAGGAGCUGAGGGGUAGAGGAGGCGGGGGGAGGCUGAGGGGUAGAGGAGCUGAGGGGUAGAGGAGCUGAGGGGUAGAGGAGCAGGGGGGUAGAGGAGCAGAGGGGUAGAGGAGCUGAGGGGUAGAGGAGCUGAGUGUUGAAGGAGCUGAGGGGUAGAGGAGGCUGAGGGGUAGAGGAGGCUGAGGGGUAGAGGAGGCGGGAGGAGCAGAGGGGUAAAGGAGCCAGGUGGAGGCUGAGGGGUAGAGGAGCUGAGGGGUAGAGGAGCUGAGGGGUAGAGGAGCUGAGGGGUAGAGGAGCAGGGGGGUAGAGGAGGCUGAGGGGUAGAGGAGCAGGGGGGAGGCCGUGGGGUUAGGCGAUCCUAUCUCUGUAAAUCAUUGCAGGUUACAAGAAACUGCACCUGUGAGAUUGGUUUGGUGCACUUUCUGGAAUGUUUUAUUUGUGGAAAGGUUUCUUUGUGGAAAAGCGUCUUAAUGUCUUGUGUAGGAAUGAUGUUACUUUAUCUGUGUUUAUUGGCAACCUGUACAUGUUGUGUGAUACCCCGCAUCCAAAAAAUGUUAUGACUAAUGUGAUAGUUAACAUGGUUGACACUCAACAACUCACCAACACAAAGUGUUUAGUGUCAGUGAAUGCUGACUUCUUUCUAUAUCAAUCUUGUGUGAUGUGUUUAAUUAUGCUUCUCUCUCUUCUGCUGCAGUCUGAGCGCUCGCUCUCUCUGGCCUGCCAGGACGUGAGUGAGCCCGACAAGCUUGUUGUUGUUGUUGAAUAAAUAUACUUAUAUGCAACUCUGGAGUCCUGAGGUAACUUGAGUGCAUUUUCACCUAACAUCUGUUAUUACGUUAGUAUCCCCUCUGCUGGUUAAAGAACUCUGGUAGCCAUGUGCCUCUUGGGUUUGUUUUGUCAUGCCACGUUUUCUGUUUUUGUCCUUAAACUCCGACCCUACCUGCCCUCUGCCACUAUCUGGAUUUUCCUGUCACCAUCUACCACACCUGUUCUGUUAAUUAGUCUGUUUGUUAUCCUCACGAGUUUCUCGUGCCUCUUGUUUGCUUCCCACCAAUUAUCUCUUUCCCCUCUGGUAUUUAAGUUCAGUCUGUCCUGUGUCCCCUGUCUGAUUGUAACAUUGAAUUUGGUUGGUAACUCUGAGUCCUGUCCAAGUCUGUGAGUGUUUCUCUGCUUCACUUCCGUGGAUACCCUGUCCGUGUGGAAAAGUUUUGGAUUUUUGUGUUUCCCUUUACUCUGCCUUUGUUGGAUAUUUGGAUUUUUUUGUGUUUUGCCCUUUUUUUUAUACUUUGUUACCUGGAUCUUUUGUGUGUUGGAUUUGUGGACCUUUUAAGUUUUACUUUUUGCAAAAUAAAUUCUAAGUUCUUGCUGGC
ensembl:lncRNA